CCCUGGUCUGGAUCAACAGUGAGGCCUCCUGCAGGAAAGGCAAGCUAUCCUGCUGCUUUGGAGUCUGCGCUGCAUAACAGGGGCUCCAGAGACCUUCCCAGUGGAGCAAAAGCUGAGGGAGUUACCUGUGGACCCACCCUACAAGGGAGGCAUGAGGCCUUCAGGUCAGCAUGGAUGCCCCAGGUUCAUGUGAAUAUGUCCACGCAGCAUUCCUAGCAGGAGCAAAUCCAUUCUCAAACAAACAUUGGAACCUCCUGAAGCACACCCUGCUUCAGGGCCUGAGGAUUCAGCCAUGAACAAGAGAGAGGCCCUCCUCCUGUGGGGCACAGAGCAGUACAGCAGCAACAGAAACUCGCAGGACUACCUGCCCAGCUUCCCAGUCUCAGCCAGCAAGGUAAACAAAGGGGUCCCAGGGCUGGCACGGAGAAGCCAAGCAGAAUGGGCUGCUCUAUGCCCUGGCAGCCUUCUUCCUUGGCCAUAGAAGACAUUGAAGCUCCAGUGGGCUGGGCAUGUUGCCCCACUAUCUUCUCCCUACAGUAAACUCAAUGUCAGGAGAGAGUUCAGUCUUCCAAGUUUGCCUCAAACCAAACUACACACAAACCUUCCCCAAGAUGUCGGCUUUCAGUCCUAAGAGAAUCUAGAACUACAGCCUAACAGAGAGCCAGCAGACAGGGGCCCUGAGCUCCCACUCAGGAGUACAAGGCAGAGGUUCCACUUUUAUCUUGUUCACUGGACUGAAAGAGCGAUAACGAAAGGUAAUUGCUUCAUGGAAACCUGUGCUCAAAAGGACAGAACUCUGUCACCUUAGGUCAGGCAGGAGCCAGUAUUUAUUACCAUAUUUUAGCCAAAAGAGAUUCCUGCCUGGAGGGAGAGCCAGCGGAAAGACGUUGUAACUUUUCAUUUCUAAUACAGGACCAGUUUCCAUGGAGACCAGUGUGAAGCUGCUGCACAGAUUCUUCUUGUAGAAGCCAGAGUGGCAUCAUAGGAGGGACUGGUGCCUCUGUCUUCCUGCCUUUUCAUCCCACUGCCCUUCACUGUGCUCCUGCCAGGGAACCAGUGGGCACUGCAUUGGAAGCUUGUAAUUCCUGACUCCCCAUGGGAGUGGGAGUCAGGUCAGGGCCAGCUAUGAAUUCGCAGGACCGGUGCAAAAUAAAAAUGCAGGCUCCUUGUUCAAGAAAAAAUAGUUGAAGUUGCUAAAAUAGAAAGCUUAAUCCCUCCUUCCAUGGUCCCUCUCAACUUGUCAUAGUGCUUUUCAUUUGCAAUUUAAUGUUUCCAAGUCAAGCAAAAUUAAGAUCCUAAAUCAAUAGGACAAAUUUCACUGUUCACCUUUGUACUGCUUAUUUUUAGAACGCCCAUUUCAAAGGCAAACAUGACAGCAUUUAACUAAUGCAGAAUCACAGAAAUGAUGCAAUUCCUACUUCAUAGCUCAUG